UGCGCAGCUAUAAUGCAGUCGAGCGGACAGAUGGGAGCUUGCUCCCUGAUGUUAGCGGCGGACGGGUGAGUAACACGUGGGUAACCUGCCUGUAAGACUGGGAUAACUCCGGGAAACCGGGGCUAAUACCGGAUGGUUGUCUGAACCGCAUGGUUCAGACAUAAAAGGUGGCUUCGGCUACCACUUACAGAUGGACCCGCGGCGCAUUAGCUAGUUGGUGAGGUAACGGCUCACCAAGGCGACGAUGCGUAGCCGACCUGAGAGGGUGAUCGGCCACACUGGGACUGAGACACGGCCCAGACUCCUACGGGAGGCAGCAGUAGGGAAUCUUCCGCAAUGGACGAAAGUCUGACGGAGCAACGCCGCGUGAGUGAUGAAGGUUUUCGGAUCGUAAAGCUCUGUUGUUAGGGAAGAACAAGUGCCGUUCAAAUAGGGCGGCACCUUGACGGUACCUAACCAGAAAGCCACGGCUAACUACGUGCCAGCAGCCGCGGUAAUACGUAGGUGGCAAGCGUUGUCCGGAAUUAUUGGGCGUAAAGGGCUCGCAGGCGGUUUCUUAAGUCUGAUGUGAAAGCCCCCGGCUCAACCGGGGAGGGUCAUUGGAAACUGGGGAACUUGAGUGCAGAAGAGGAGAGUGGAAUUCCACGUGUAGCGGUGAAAUGCGUAGAGAUGUGGAGGAACACCAGUGGCGAAGGCGACUCUCUGGUCUGUAACUGACGCUGAGGAGCGAAAGCGUGGGGAGCGAACAGGAUUAGAUACCCUGGUAGUCCACGCCGUAAACGAUGAGUGCUAAGUGUUAGGGGGUUUCCGCCCCUUAGUGCUGCAGCUAACGCAUUAAGCACUCCGCCUGGGGAGUACGGUCGCAAGACUGAAACUCAAAGGAAUUGACGGGGGCCCGCACAAGCGGUGGAGCAUGUGGUUUAAUUCGAAGCAACGCGAAGAACCUUACCAGGUCUUGACAUCCUCUGACAUCCCUAGAGAUAGGACGUCCCCUUCGGGGGCAAAGUGACAGGUGGUGCAUGGUUGCCCUCAGCUC
rnacentral:rRNA from 1 species